AACGGCCGUACCAUGCUGAAUAUACCGGUUCUCGUUGGAUCACCGAAGUUAAGCAUCAUUGGGCGCGGUCAGUACUUGGGUGGGUGACCACCUGGGAACACUGCGUGCCGUU
rnacentral:rRNA from 1 species